UACGUGGGGGGCGAGCGUUGUUCGGAAUUAUUGGGCGUAAAGGGUGCGUAGGCGGUUUGGCAAGUCUGAUGUGAAAUCUAUGGGCUCAACUCAUAGUCUGCAUCGGAAACUGCCGGGCUUGAGUGUGGGAGAGGUGAGUGGAAUUCCUGGUGUAGCGGUGAAAUGCGUAGAUAUCAGGAGGAACACCUGUGGCGAAAGCGGCUCACUGGACCAUAACUGACGCUGAUGCACGAAAGCUAGGGGAGCAAACAGG
rnacentral:rRNA from 1 species